rnacentral:rRNA from 1 species
UACGUAGGGUGCAAGCGUUAAUCGGAAUUACUGGGCGUAAAGCGUGCGCAGGCGGUUUUGUAAGACUGACGUGAAAUCCCCGGGCUUAACCUGGGAAUGGCGAUGGUGACUGCAAGGCUAGAGUUUGGCAGAGGGGGGUAGAAUUCCACGUGUAGCAGUGAAAUGCGUAGAGAUGUGGAGGAACACCGAUGGCGAAGGCAGCCUUCUGGGCCAACACUGACGCUCAUGCACGAAAGCGUGGGGAGCAAACAGG